ensembl:lncRNA
AUACUGUUGAGAAACAUGGAGGUAUGAGAUCCCAGAAUCAGCCACAAGGGGGAGACUCUGGCAGAAUAACAGCUAAAUAAGGGAACAUUGUGAUGUUAUAACCUGUGAUUUGUAACUGAUUCAUGCUAUAACCUAAUAAGUGUGUUAAAGCUAACACAAAUACCUAUUUUUAUAAUCUUUGUUUAAGAAGUAACUAAGUCAGAACAGCAACUCACUGUGAAAAGUGAUGUUUUGGUUACCAGGGAAACUGAUGUUUUUGAUAUGACAAAUAUGAGGAACUAAUGCUUUAUUGAAUGGAAAUGCUUUUAAGAGUUUUGAUUACUAUGAAGCUGAGAUGUUUUAGAAAGAGUUUUGAUUACUGUUAAACUAAGGUUUUUAACUUAGUAAUGAAGUGAGAAGUCAAGAGCUGAGGUGAACUGGGGUCAAGUGUUCACAGUAAAGGUUAUUAAGCUCAAAAUAAAUGUCAGGGAUUUUUGUGAGUCUGACAUCUGUUUCCUGACCGGAGGCCUGCUCUGAGCUGCAGAUGGAACCGAUACAUUAAUAGAGAAGUGAGACUGAGUGGAAGGGUCCAAACAGUCCAAACAGUUAGUUUCAGUUCCUCAAACAUGGAGGGGUCUUAGGAUGAGUUGGGGGGGGGAGCUGGUGGAACAGUCCAGAAUAGAUGGUUUUGGUUCCCCCAGAGCACGCAGAGGCCAUGAGGUCAGUGGAUGGGAGCAGUGCACGAGUAAGGAGGGGGAUGGAUGCUGUCAUCACGUAUGUUAAUUAAGGGUGCAGUUCUUGUAUAUGCAACAGGUUCAGUUGUUGUAUAAAUUGCACUGGAUCGAGACACGAGUUGGGAGUCGUUGCGAGGUGGUCACUGGUUGCAAUCCAGGGUAGAAAUGCUCUGAGCAAAGGGGAUUUUACCACGUAACUCGGACGGGGGAUUCAACAUGAUCUGCAAAGGAAUAUCUGUUCUAUUGGAAUUAUGGACUGAAGGAGUGCUCUUUCUGCACUGUUUGAGGAUUACAAAAGACUGUGAUCUAAAAAUAACGCUGACUGAAGGAAUAUUACUGAACUCUAUUAUUUCCAAAAGGAUUAACACCAGAGUGGAUUAUAACAAAGUUUUUACUGGCCCAAAGAACAAAAAUGGAUACAAGCAGAUCUAAAUCUGGACUGAACUCUCUCUCCACCUCCUCCCUGGAGCAGAGCCCAGCGGGGCAUCGGUCUUCAGGUGAGCAGCAGGUGAGGCCACACCGUCUGCUCUCCCCCUCCAAAUUACAUAAUUUGGGUGAUUAUUGCUCUUCUUAGAUAAAAGCAUAGUUCCAGUUAGGGGUCAUAUUAGAGGAUUGUUAUAGAAAUUAAUGUUUAAUUGGUUGUCUGAUGAUUUAUGGGCUAUUGCUAUUUCCCUGCUGAGAUUAUAAUAAAAC